rnacentral:lncRNA from 1 species
AUUUUUCUUAAACUAUAAGUAAUAGGUCAACUAUAUAUGUUGUAUAGAAGCAUUGUUAGCUGUACAUGUCUGCCUGUCAUGGUUCAUCUGACCUUGACCUCAUUUCAUGGUUCAUUGGUCUUUGUUUAGUUAUUUUGGUUAAUGUUAAGUUUAUGAGACAGUUGUAAUAAAGCUUUAUACUUAGGACUAUCAACAUAAUAUCAAUGAUUAGUAUAGAAGGCGAGACAUUUCAGCGUGUGCACUCUUGUUAUUCGUUGGAUACCAAUUUUCGUGGGUUUCGUAGAUCUACAUACAGGUUAACCACGAAAUCAAAUGUUCAACGAAUUACAAAUAUCAUAGGCUUUGUAUACAGAGAUUGCUAAACCACGAAAUCAAAUAUCCACGAAACAGCAAGUUUUCCUCUAUCCACGAUAAUUGAUACCCACAAAAAUAAAUGAAUCCACAGUAGUAUAUUUAUCUUAAAAAAUGGUUGUAAACUAUUCUGAUGCUAUGUGUAUAAAUGAAAUGUGUUUUUUUAAUAAAUAUAACAUGAAGAAGCUGAAUGUGUAACAUGAAUGUAAGUACAAAGUCAGUGUACAGUUUGUUUAAAGUUUUUUCCUAAUUUGGACAACACUUUAACAAAACUGACUGGCUCCUGUUUGGCCAGAGGUACUACUUCCAAUCCUAUUGCCUCAUUUUAGAAAAAUUAAACACUUUUUGAAAAUAAGAUAUUGAAAUCUUUUGGAGGGAAAAAAAGUUUGU